rnacentral:piRNA from 1 species
UGGAAGAUGAAGUUCUCCUUCAGAGUGUCC